rnacentral:rRNA from 1 species
GAUGAACGCUAGCGGAAGGCAUAGUACAUGCAAGUCGAACGGAUGUAGCAAUACAUUAGUGGCGCACGGGUGCGUAACGCGUAUGCAACCUACCUUCAUCAGGGGGAUAACUACCCGAAAGGGUGGCUAACACCGCAUAAUACUAUUGAGUGGCAUCACUUGAUAUUUAAAUCUGAGGAGGAUGAAGAUGGGCAUGCGUCUGAUUAGCUAGUUGGUGUGGUAACGGCGCACCAAGGCGACGAUCAGUAGGGGAACUGAGAGGUUGGUCCCCCACACGGGCACUGAGAUACGGGCCAGACGCCUACGGGAGGCAGCAGUAGGGAAUAUUGGUCAAUGGUGGGAACACUGAACCAGCCAUUCCGCGUGCAGGAAGAAGGGUCUCUGACUUGUAAACUGCUUUAGCAAGGGAAGAAAAAGCUCAUGCGUGAGAAAUUGACGGUACCUUGAGAAUAAGCACCGGCUAACUACGUGCCAGCCGCCGCCGUAACAC